rnacentral:sRNA from 1 species
UUUAAAUGGGCCAACGAUUAAAACAAACUG